GCAAGUCGAACGGUAACAUGAGAGCUUGCUCUUGAUGACGAGUGGCGCACGGGUGCGUAACGCGUAUACAAUCUGCCUUUUACAGAGGGAUAGCCCAGAGAAAUUUGGAUUAAUACUUCAUGGUAUUGAGAAUUGGCAUCGAUUUUCAAUUAAAGCUUCGGCGGUAAAAGAUGAGUAUGCGUUCUAUUAGCUAGUAGGUAGGUUAACGGCUUACCUAGGCAACGAUAGAUAGGGGCCCUGAGAGGGGGAUC
rnacentral:rRNA from 1 species